GCCUUCGUAGUGUAGUGGUCAACUCGCUCGGAGCGCAUUCGAGAAGUCCAAGGUUCGAGUCCCGGCGAGGGCA
rfam:Stegodyphus mimosarum contig179, whole genome shotgun sequence.